rfam:Lepisosteus oculatus linkage group LG4, whole genome shotgun sequence.
GCCAGCAGCCAUAUCACUCUGCAACUUACAACUGGCAGCCCACUGGAGCUCAGCAGGUGUGAGCCUGGUCAGUACCUGGAUGGGAGACCUCCUGGGAAACCUAAGGUUGCUGAUGGUA